rnacentral:RNase_P_RNA from 1 species
CGAGCGGGCCAGGCGGUCGCGUGCUCACGCGCGAGGAAAGUCCGGGCUCCGCAGGGCAAGGUGCCAGCUAACGGCUGGGCGGGGCGACCCGACGGAAAGUGCCACAGAAAAGAAGACUCCCCCGCGAGGAACGGGCUCCGCGCCCGCCUGAACGGGAGAAAAGCUGAAACGGUGCGGUAAGAGCGCACCAGCGCGCCGGCAACGGCGCGGCUUGGCAAACCCCACCUGGAGCAAGCGCAAAUAGGAACGCCAUACGGUGGCCCGCCGUGCGUUCGGGUUGCGUGCUAGAGGCGCCUGGCGACAGGCGCUCGAGAUAAAUGGCCGUCCAACGACAGAACCCGGCUUAUCGACCCGCUCGCCCU